AAGGGCUUUCUUCUUCUUGUACUUGCUCCCCUUCUUCAGUAAAGGACACUCAGCUCUGAUGUGCCCCGGCUUCUUGCACUCAUAACAUCCAAUCCCCUCAUUUUCCCUUUCCUUACCUUUAUCCUUGCGAUAGGAAUUUGAGGGGCCUCUCCUUUGAUGAAAGGACUUCUUUUGGUUGAUGAAUUUUCUGAACUUGUGCACGAAAAGAGCCUCAUCAUCAUCUCCCUCAUGAUCUUCUUCUUCACUGCUGCUACUGCAAGACAAGUCUUUGUUAGAUGAUGUAGAUUUGAGAGCUAUUAC
rnacentral:lncRNA from 1 species